CAUCAUCGAUUCAUUGUUAUUCGUAUCCAUUCCUGACAACAAUGUAAAAAAUGUAAACAUAAAUAACAAUGGCGGCGACGGAUGCAAUAACUACUUGAAAUAUAGGUCACACAGGUAAAUCAAUCUAACUUACAGGUUACAAGCAUACACUACAAUAUGGAACUGGCUCAAAACAUACAGAAACAUAAAACAAUGUUACUGAGGCAAGUUGGUACGCAAUUACCUGCAGGUAUAUAUUUAAAUAAUAUAUAUUUAUGAAUAGCAAGAAUGCUGGUCAUCUAUGCGUACAAUAUCAAGGCAUAUCAUCAUCGAUUGACAUUAUAUACAUACCGUUGGACAGCGCUAGAGGGGCAUUAGCAUUACAGAGGAGAGUGGACAGGUCAAGAUAAAUCUAGAUGUUAGUUUACCUGAUACAUUAUCCUACAUAUUGCUACGGUUUACGUCUACCUACGCCUACGUACGUCUACGAAUAAUACUAACUAGAUGGUCGGACCUUAACUGCAUAUAUCAUGUGAUGUUAGGUAGCACAAAACCAUUUCAAGCAUUUAUAUAUAUUUUUAUAAACGAUUCAAGUAUCGACCUUUAACAUAUUUCUCUCAUCCGAAGAAAUGGCGUCAUCGACAUCUAUGUACAAAUGUACACAGAUAUGAAUCAUAUGACAAUAGCAAUAAACAAUCAAACUUGCAUACAUCAAAUGAAACCUUAACAUCCAGGUAUCAAUACAAAACAGUACUGCAGUGUCAAAUGUCUACAAACAUAUACCUCUAUACUAUAACUACAAUCAAACUAAUGCGUGGCUAUAAUACUACAGCUACAUUAAUCAAUAUUUACAAUCACACAAACACCAUUACUCUACGAUACAAUUCCAAUCUAAUCUGAAACUGACAAGCUAGAAAUACGCUAUUUCAUUUGACAAUACUGCAAGAUACUAUCUAUAAGAUACAGUACACAUACAUAAGUCAAAAUGUGCAUACAAGUAAAUGUUACAAAACUGACAAAAAUCAGUUCAACAAUGUUCUGUACUGUUCUAAUAUCCUCCAAAGAUAAUCACAUAUAAUGCACCAUCAGUUUCUUGCACUAACUGCUGAUCCUCUCUGCUGGCCAACAACACAAUCACCACAGGUAAUCAAUCUGCUUGGUUCCCGCUGUCAUGACGUCCUACGUGGUAACAACCCUGUUUCACCAGACUGUCUUCUAUGUGGAGCUCCGUAUCUCGGUGCACCUGACUAGAAGAAGAAGAAUCAGAAGAGUAUGGUCACUAACACAAACUGCUUCGGAGUCACCGAAAUCUAUGACUUGUUCAUCUGACUCAAUAUCCGAAUGUGCUCCGCUGGACGUGGUACUUCCAAUUACUUUAAUGGGCAGACUGAUAAAUGGUAGAAGAUGGUUUCUGUGUAGAAGCCGUUUUCUUCCUUGACCAUCUUCCUUCUGCACUUCGAAGACAGGAAGGUCUAGAUCCGAAUGAGCGAGAAUCACAUAAGGCCUCUCUUCACAUAUGUUAGCCAACUUGUGCUUUCCCUUCAAACAGACGUUUCUCACAAGUAAACGAUUGCCAAGUAGUAGCUUACAUUCCCAUACUUUCCGAUCAGAGCAUUUAUUGUCCUUGUGUCUACUUCUGAGUGCAGCAUCGUUAGCUUUACUUUAUGCCACCGAGAGUACCUUCUCCAGCUUCUGCAUGUAAUAAGUCGGUGACGUCCCGCUGCAGUGCUGUCGUUCGAGCCCCAAGAACGCAUCAAAAGCCAACCGAGGUGGACGACUAAACAUGAGUUGAUAAGGUGAGUAGCCUGUGCGUUCAUAUCGCGUCGCAUUGUAGGCGUGGACAAGGCUCGGUACGAAUGACUUCCAGUCCUUCUCCUUCUCAUCUGAAAGGGUUCCAAGCAUCUGAAGAAGAGUAUGGUUGUAUAUCUCCACCUGACCGUUCCCUUGGGCAUGGCAAGGUAUCGUCCUUGACCAUGUGAUCCCUGUGAUCUUGCACAGCCUCUGUUUCACUGUGGACAGACACUUUUGGACUCUGUCGCUGUGGAGUCUAACGAAGAGACCGUAGCGCAUGAAGAAGUGGUCGUAUUGUUCUUAGUGUGUAUGGCCUGACCAAAACGUGUGAAAUUUCCAUGAUGACUAUUACAUUCUCAUGCCUGCCCACCCUUAGAUGGCUCAAGCGAUAGGUAGUUAAUGGACACCAAUUCCAUCGGCGCAGAAUAAGUGAUGUUCACUAACCCAGUCGCUACAGUCGAAGCCACCGGUCACAAUGACUCACCCACAACGCAAUGCCAGCGUCCAUACCCGGUCAAUAGAACCGCUCCUUGAGUACGCUAAGCAUCCUACCCCGUCCUUGAUGUCCCAUGUCGUCAUGUAACGCCUUGAAUACGAUCUCUCUUGCAGAUCUUGGAAAGGCUACUUGAUGCACUGGCUCUCUUCGGAGAUGUCCUGUGGUACAACACUGCAUCCUUCAAAGGCAGGUGCUUCCAUUUCCUGAGGUAAUUCCAUGCCUCUACAGAGUAGUUCUGCAUCUGAACCUGGUUAGCUCGUGUACCCAGAGAAACACAAGUCUUCACUGUCGAAAUGGUGGGACCCACAUUCUGCCCUUUGAUCCAAUCCCACAGUGCAUGUGUUUUAAUGGCGUACGCAGAGAGAUAUUUAGCUACGUUAUCCUCAUCGUCCAAGUCGUCGAUGGCAUCUUUACCUAUAGCAUAGGACGAAGAACAAUGUCUGACACAGAGCAGUGCUUUCAUUACAUCGCUAUCAACCUGUUUAAAGUCAUCUGGCUUGACUUCACUGCGGCUUCUCUGACAAGACAAAGAAUCUGCAUCAGUGUUCUUCCUACUAAUGCAAUAGCUGAUGUCGUAGUUGUAGUUCGCUAAGGCAGCUUCCCAGCGGUGACCAGUUGCAUCGAGAUUGGCAGUCCUCUUGGCAUAGACGAGUAGAUUGUUGUCAGUAAGCACCUCUAACUUCGCUCCGUACAGGUAGUCAUGGAAUUUUUUCGUCACUGUCCAUUUAAGUGCAAAAAAGUCCACUCUACUUGAAUGGUAGUUCCGUUUAGAGGGCUUAAGACUGCUGGGUUUCUCUGUGCCGUCCUGUUGCUUCUGUAGUAAGACUGCUCCAAAUUCACUGAUAGAUGUAUCAGUAUGCAAUAUGAAAGCCUUGGAGUAAUCCGCGUAUGCCAAUACUGGUGCUGAGGUGAGCUUCUCAAUGAUGGUCUCAAACGCGGAUUCACCACAUACUUGAAAAUAAGGUGAUGGUUCCUGUUUUCUCAGUCAUUGGUCCACCAAGCAAGUCAUUGAGGGGCCGUGCAAUCCUGGCACAUCCUGGGACAAACUUUCGGAAAUAGCCUGCGAAUUCGAGGAAACUCUGUGCCUCCUUAGCACUAGUUGGGACAGGCCAUUGGCGAACCAUAUCUUUCUUGGAUGGGUUGGUUUGGAUGUCGUCCUUGGACACAACGUAGGUGACUUCGCUUUGGAGGAUCUCACAUUUUGAAGCCUUAAGCUUAUGGUUCUUGAGUCGACUGAACACAGCUUCCAGACGUUCCAAAUGUUGUGCAAACGACGAGAAGAUAAUGAUUUCGUCCAGAUAUAUGAGGCAUUUUUGAGAUUCAUUAUGCCCAUGCAACGCUCCAUCAACCUUUCAAAGAUCGCCGGUGUAUUGCAUAGACCAAAUGGCAUCCGAUUGCACUCAAAGAAGCCAAGAUUGCCGACCUGGAAUGCAGUCUUCACUGUAUCAUCAUCCGCCAACUCCACUUGCCAGUAUCCCGCUUUCAAGUCGAGGUUCGUGAAAUAUUGUGAGCCAGAAAGAAGAUGGAGUGUGUCAUCGAUCCCGGGAACUCCGUACGCAUCCUUGUGUGUUCGACAGUUAAGCCUAUUGUAGUCAAUACAGAAUCGUAUUGAUCCAUCUUUCUUCCGGACAAUCACGACAUUUGACGAGAACCAACUGUGUGAUGGACGAAUAGCUCCCAUUUACAACAUCUCUUGCAGGUGUUCGCGGACCUCGUUAAACAGAGCUGGUGGAAUCCUCCUUUACGGAUCUUUUAAUGGACGUUUGCCUUCCAGUUUGUUUUCAUGUUUAACCAGAUCCGUGUUUCUCAGAUCCUAAGGAUCUCGUGAAAACGCAUCUUUCCACCUGUAGCACAGGUCUUGCAGUUGUCUCUGCUGAUCAGGAUCUAAAUGUUCUAUCUUGAUGUUGAGAUUUCCAAUCAAUUCUUGUUUCUGAUCCUAACUGACAGGCUCGUUGGGUUCUCUUUAAAUUCUAUCAGAAUUCUCCCCAGGUUCCCAGUUUCGUAGCACCUUUACCUCUUGUAGUUUACACAAGACAGACUCAGGCAGAAUCUUCACCGGUUUAGCCGGCAUGUUGAAAAUCUUUACCGGUACUCUUGAUGAUUUACCCGGUUUACAAUCUCAAGUUCGGCUGGAUACAUUUCCAGAUGGAUCCGUUAUUACAGAAUCCACUGUAUCGGAAGUCCUGACUGACCCUGACAAUACAAUUGAUUUUAAUGGUUGUAUGCUAAGUUCCUUAUCAUUUGUACAGCGGACUGUUCCAAUCGGCUUUCUGUGAUCGAUAAAAGAAACAGUUGUUCUCAAACCAGUCCUCAAGUUUUCUUUAGCGGACUGUGGUAUGAAAAUUGAAUCCAACAAUAAGAAUUGUAGUCUGUAUUCGGAACAACAAGUACAGGUACAAGUAUAUCUUACCUGAAAACUCCUGGUUCAUUGACAACUGCCUCGAUAUAACCAAUAUAUGGUAAACUAUUUCCAUCUACACCUUGGACUAUGGAUUCUUCAAUGGUGUGUAUUUCGGGUAACGGGUCUAUUUGAUUAUACCAAACUUCACUUAUUGUGGUAAUUAUAGAUCAUGUGUCAACCAGGCAAGGUUAUUGUUUUCCAUUUAUAAUUACUUCGAUCUGAAUAGAAUGUCCGAUCAAUCUGUCAAAUAUAUUAAUCUUUGGUGGAGGUCUUCUCUCUAACUUCUCCGGCCCCCUUUCAUGAAGAACUUCUCUUGUUUAAAUCAUCUACAGGCUUCUAAUUCUCACUCUUAGCUCCUUUUCGGACUUAGCACUUCCUCUUCCUCUACCGCUACUGCUUCUGCCUCUACCAUACCCUCGGCCUCUAACAUGUCUGUAGUCAUUAUCUCUAUUUUCUGAAGUAGUUGCUUUUCUCUUGUAUUCUUCGUUUUCUUUCUGGAGUGCAUCUAUCUUUUUUUCCAACUGCUCCAUCUUCUGUGUAAGCAGUUUCAUCAGUUCUUCACCUUUUUCAACAGAAGAACUGAUAACAGACUGUCGAGCUUUGUACGACGGCUACUCUUCACUUGUCUCUUUCUUCUCUCUUAGCUCUUACUUUCUUCCGUAAAUCUGCAUAGCUAGUGUCUGUCUCCAAGUGCACUGUAGUUGCAUUCUUCAAUUCUUCAUUCUGAAGACCUCUCCAAAUUUCUUUUUCAGCAUAUCCUCUUUCUCGUUUGCAUUUACUGCAGUCUUUCACCUUACUUGUAAAAUAAUCUCUUCUAGCCUGAGACCCCACUCAACUAUCGACUCGGCCUCCUUCUGCUCCGCCAAAAAGAGGUGGGACAAUAUAAUAGCUCUGCUUGCUAUGUUUCCAAAUUCAUCUUUUAGUUUCAUUUCUAUAAUAUCCACCGAAGCAUUAGAACCAAGGUGAAGCAUGAUUCGGUUCGCUUGUCCUUUAAAGGCAUUCGAUAUAGCCUGCACCACUACCAUCUCAGAAUAUAUUGCCUUUAUACAUUCCACUUCUUACUUCCACUCUUCAAAAGUGGCUUAAUUUGAGGUACUGGCUCGAUACAUGAAAAUGAUGUCAAAUUCAAAUUGCUAUUUAGAUCUUUCGACUUCUCACGUCCUUUCUAUCUUCCAUGCUUCUUUACUUUUUCAUCUGAACUUUCUACAUCUUUCAUUUCAGUAGCCUCUUUCAGAUUCUUGACCUCCAUAUCUUUACCUUGGUGUGUAUCUACUUCUUUACUAAAGGCACCAUCUAUUUUUACGUUCUUCUCUGGUGUGACUUCUUUCAAGAAGGUCAUAUUCAUGUCCUUUGGACUUUCAGUUCUGCUUUCCUGCUCCUGGAAAGAGUAAUCAUGCUGGUGUAAAAACGUAUGUCUAUCUCUUAAAACCUCUUCUUGUUUUUUCUGUUGAAUAUUUAGGUGAAGGAAUUUCGUUUGCAAUUCUUUCUUUAGUCUCUCUAUAUUUAUUUCUUUGUCUAACAAUUCCUGUUCUUUACGCUUAUGUUUCAUUUCCAUCUCCUGUAGUUUUUCAUUUUUUCAUUUAUUCUUUUCUCUGUAUCUCUCAUAUACAGAUGUAUUUCUGACUCUUUUUCAUUCAUCUUUCUUUCCUUCACUUUGUAUUCCUGCUGUUAUUUAUUAUAUUGACCAUAGCUUUCUCAAAAUCUUGUAGCUACCUCUCUUUCGCUUGCAUAUAUUGGUCCCUAUUCAUUAAUAACCUCUCUCUGUCCUGAAGCGUAACCUCUUUUUCAUCUAACGCUUUCUUCCAAUUGUGUUCUACAUCUUUUCUUCUAACGCGACUAUCCUGAGAUAUAACCUCAUUUUUCUCCUACUAUUUCCUCCAAUUGUGUUCUACUUUUAAUUGUUACAUUUCUUUGUACCAUGCUCUUCUGGUUGUCACUUUCAGCCUCAUCUGUAGUGCUGAACAUACUACUUGACAAACCCUGUAGUCUAUCUCUCACGCUCCGAAACACGCUCUUAUUUCUGUUCUGUUUAUUCAAAGUAUUAAUUUUAUUUGUUUUUUUUUACUAAUUAAUCAUCAAUGUGGCAUAGAAAUUAAUAUAUAAUCAAAAUUGAAAGCAAUGUGAGAAAAUAAGUAUUCACGGUUACCUCAUUUACGAACUAAAAUUAGUAUGUUUUUCGCAAUUUAAUGGUUUCUCAUUCUCAUUUCAAAUGUUUAUAUUUCUGAUACUGUUUUUUACUAGUAUCAAUAUAUGUUGCCCAUCUUACUUAUAUUUCUGUAUAUUAAGUACGAAAUGAAUUUGAAUAGGUACCAAUGGACCAGAAACAGGUAUAAGUUGAGCAAAAUGGGUUUUAGUUGGCCACAGUACGGUCUAAACAGUUACCUAACAGGUGUCUUCAAACAGACACAUUUAGACUUAAAUGGUAGAUCGAUCUUGUUUGUCUUUGAAUAUAUAAUUUGUAGCUCAGUGACUAAGUUAAUGUUUACGGUUUUAACUCAAGGGUCUUUGGCUCGAUCUUUACAUGCGGCGAUAUUUUUUUUGCCAUGGGAGUUUCCUCUGGCAAUACUUCAGAGCCCUAGCCUAGUACUGGUGAAACCCAGAAAGCAUCAAUAAGUGAAUCGUUGCCUUAAUUUUAGUUAAAUACAUCAUACGAACAUACACAUCAAGAUAGUAGUAGAUGUAGAAUAAUGGGGGGAUGAAGAUUUACCCAUAAAGAUUGUACUUAGAUUACCAAAGCAGAAAAGAUCAUAUUUCUGUGAAAAACGUAUAGAAACUUAUAUCAGCAAGUGUAAUCUUACUACGUAACAGUUGUUAUCUCUCAAAUUUAUCAUUAUACCACAUACUAUUGACUUCUCUUUGUAAAUAAAACAUAAUGUACAUGAAUCCAUUUGCAGAUAUGAGCAAACAACAAAGAGCUGCUUCUCUUUUAAGGCAUUCAGCAGAUUUGUUGAAUGUCAACACAAGUGACAGGAGUACACAAUACCAACACCUGCACAAGUAACCUCUGUCAUUAGCACUAGUGCUGCAAAGGCAAUCUUCGCAUCCGACAGUAAAAGUAAAAGAAGGAGGCAUAGAAAUGCAAAUACAGGAACUGUGGCAGUGCCAGAACUGGACUAUUAUAUCCAAGUGUACAUCUAAUCAAGAGCUAGACGAGACCCGGGAGAGACCUCAGCACAGAGAUGAAUCGAAAUAACUGGAGCUACAGGCUGCUGACGAAAAGCCUUGAGGAACCAGUCUAAAUGUUCGGUUUAUCAGAAUAGAGUGUGUUAUGUGUUUUAUUGCUAAAGCUUUUUGCUACUCUGAAUCCAAUAUCCGAAGUGGUAUUUUAUUAAGAUUGAGAAAAAAUAAGGCCAAUCUUAAUAAUAAAUAUUCUAUUAAGUAGAACAUAUUGAACUGUUUUUUCAAUCAUAUAGCAAUGUGUUGUUUGCCAUUGGAGCAUUUAGCAUGCUUAAACUCAACAUAAUAUUAGAGAAAUUCAUUUAUUUUACAUUAUUCUACUUAUCUUGCGAUGAUUUUACAAGCAUCUUGUUCACAAAUCUUGUCGAUUGGUAAGCAGAUAUGUUAUUGCUAAAUUUCAAUGGUCAAGUAUUUAAGAAAAAAUGUCUUGCCUUUCUAUAAUGUUUUGCUGACAUUUUGACAUAAGUUAUUUGUGUUUGCAGUUGACAGCCUAGGUUAAGUAUACCUGGUAUUCCGUCAAAUUAAGCCCCGUUCUUGGGAAAAUGGCUUGAUGAUCAUGCGUGAAGUGUCGUCCCAGAUUAGCUUAUGUUGUCCACGCAUGCUUAUCUGGGACAACUCUUCCGGCUUAGACUGGACUUUUUUAAAUUCUUUUUUUAAACAAAAAAUCUCAUAAAACCAGAAAGUGUCUUUCCUAUUUAGCCUGUGCGGACCGUACAAUUUAAUCUGUGACAACUUUAAAAACAUGCAUUAAACCCUAUUAUCAUAGAGCAAGAGUCAAUUGUAUUUAUUUCCUUUCAAUAUUCAUAUGCCCUUUAUUUUAGGUACAUACUGAUUCUAAAUGCCUAUUUGUUGUAAGUUGAAUAUUAAUUCAUAACCAAAAAGUGUCAUAAGAUCUUUGUUAAAACAGGGCCCUGAAUUCUAGCAUUUAAUGAGGUUAUGUGCUUUUCCACACUUAUUUUAUGUCUUAUAUAAGUAAAAGGUGAACAGUAGCAAUAAUAUAAUUUGCUACCAAAAAUGUUUUUCAUCUUUUUGCUUCUUUUACAUGAAAUAAGUUAGGAUGUGUAAACAACGUUUGGCAAAUAAGAUGACAUGUAUUAAUUUCUUUGUGGUUUUAUUGCAUUUAUUUUACACGAUUUAUAUGACCAUGAUGAAGUAUAUGUAAUUAACAAAUAUAAAUCAGUUUAUUUAUCGUGCAUGCGGGCAUUUACAUAUAACCAGACAGUAGUGCAAUCACACAUGUAUAUGUAGGGUUUAACUUAUAUUUCACCUGUAUAUAUAUUGUUUUGAAAACAAUUGUAUGAUCAUGGUAAAGUUGCAUAUGUCUAGGCAUAAGCUGUAUGUGUGGGAUACACUAAGAAAACAAACUUUGUUUCCAGAUGAUGUUUAUGUAAUGUGUGUCUCAUCUUAAUAUUUAUUUAACCAGAAUGCCACGUAAUACAUAUUUUUUCAAAUAAAAUUGUAAAAAAGGUUA